UUUGUUUGAUUUUGGAUUGACCCAUUUGAUUGUUUUGAGGUUAUUCUAUUGAUUGAUGCAAAUGUAGUAGUUUAGGUUUGGUUUGUUUGUGCUUAUUGACGGUCUUGUGCUGGUUAGAUGAAUUCAACAUCAGUAGAUAACUUUAUCAUAAGCUAAAUGUAGUGCCGCUUUGUCUUUU
rnacentral:sRNA from 1 species